GAUGAACGCUGGCGGCGUGCCUAAUACAUGCCAGUCGAGCGAACGGACGAGAAGCUUGCUUUUCUGAUGUUAGCGGCGGACGGGUGAGUAACACGUGGAUAACCUACCUAUAAGACUGGGAUAACUUCGGGAAACCGGAGCUAAUACCGGAUAAUAUUUUGAACCGCAUGGUUCAAAAGUGAAAGACGGUCUUGCUGUCACUUAUAGAUGGAUCCGCGCUGCAUUAGCUAGUUGGUAAGGUAACGGCUUACCAAGGCAACGAUGCAUAGCCGACCUGAGAGGGUGAUCGGCCACACUGGAACUGAGACACGGUCCAGACUCCUACGGGAGGCAGCAGUAGGGAAUCGUCCGCAAUGGGCGAAAGCCUGACGGAGCAACGCCGCGUGAGGGAUGAAGGGCGUCGGAUCGUAAAACUCUGUUAUUAGGGAAGAACAUAUGUGUAAGUAACUGUGCACAUAUUGACGGUACCUAAUCAGAAAGCCACGGCUAACUACAUGC
rnacentral:rRNA from 1 species